CCCUUAGAUGUCCUGGGCCGCACGCGCGUUACACUGAUGCAUUCCACGAGCUUAUAACCUUGGCCGAGAGGCCUGGGCAAUCUUGUUAACGUGCAUCGUGAUAGGGAUAGAUUAUUGAAAUUAUUAAUCUUGAACGAGGAAUUCCUAGUAAACGCAGAUCAUCAAUCUGCAUUGAUUACGUCCCUGCCCUUUGUACACACCGCCCGUCGCACCUACCGAUUGGAUGGUCCGGUGAAGCCUCGGGAUUGUGGUUCUUGCCGCUUUAUUGUGGCGUGACCGCGAGAACUUGUCUAAACCUUAUCAUCUAGAGGAAGGUGAAGUCGUAACA
rnacentral:rRNA from 1 species